UCCCUGUUACCAGGGCAGUCUAGCUAGAAAAAUACAACUAACUAUAAGGGUUGCGCUCGUUGAUGGACUUAACCAAACAUCUCACGACACGAGCUGACGACGGCCAUGCUUCACCUGUCACUGCGGCCCGAAGGCACUCUCUCCAUUCGGAGAAAUUGGCAGGAUGUCAAGCCUGGGUAAGGUUCUUCGCUUACCAUCGAAUUAAACAACACGCUCCACCGCUUGUGCGGGUCCCCGUCAAUUCCUUUAUGUUUUAAGCUUGCGCUCGUACUCCACAGGCGGGAUGCUUAACGCGUUAGCUUCGACACGAAGGGGGUCGAUACCCCUCACGUCUAAUGUGCAUCGUUUACAGCUAGGACUAC
rnacentral:misc_RNA from 1 species